rnacentral:tRNA from 1 species
UUAUAUGCAGUCUGGUUUUGAAGGUACGCUAUUACCAUAUCAAUAGCUCCUCUAUGUGUUGCGGGUUCAAAUCCCGUCGUAUUAU